UGGGGCCCGGCACAGCAAGGGGGGAGCUGUUGCAGCGGGGCCAGGGCAGGCGAUGAAGAUGCUCGGAGCUUGGAGCAGCUCUGCUGUGCAGACGGGCUGAGGAGCCGGGGUGUGCAGCAUGGAGAGGAGAAGGCUGCAGGGAGACCUCAUUGCGGGCUUAAAGGGACUUAAAGGGAGCUUAUGAACAGGAAGGGGACCAACUUUUUACAGCAGCAGACAGUGAGAGGACAAGG